ACAAAUGUUGGAGUAAUUUCAAUUGUUUGUAGCGUCCUAAUCCGUACAAUUUUUCUACUAAGAGCGAAGGAAAAAAAUGGGAAGAGUGGUGUGGAGAAGUUGGUGAUUGUGAGAAGGCAUAUGCUCCUGUGCUUGCAAAGAGACAUUGGUUUCUGGCAAUUUUGAAGUUCGAAAAGAAUCUUGUUGAAUUGUAUGAUAACCUCAAAAUUCCUUCGACACCAUUUGGUCUUGCUAUAAUUGAGAAUAUGUUGGAGUCAAUGGACAAUGCAUUUAGUAAGACGUUGAAGGAGGUG